rnacentral:snRNA from 1 species
AGCUUUGCGCAGUGGCAGUAUCGUAGCCAAUGAGGUUUAUCCGAGGCGCGAUUAUUGCUAAUUGAAAAAAGCAGAACAUUACCCACCCUAAGUACUUUUUAAAAUACAGUAUU